CUACGGGAGGCUCCAGUGGGGAAUAUUGCACAAUGGGCGCAAGCCUGAUGCAGCAACGCCGCGUGAGGGAUGAAGGCCUUCGGGUUGUAAACCUCUUUUAGCAGGGAAGAAGCGAAAGUGACGGUACCUGCAGAAAAAGCACCGGCUGAACUACGUGCCAGCAGCCGCGGUAAUACGUAGGGUGCAAGCGUUGUCCGGAAUUAUUGGGCGUAAAGAGCUCGUAGGCGGUUUGUCACGUCUGCUGUGAAAAUCCAAGGCUCAACCUUGGACUUGCAGUGGGUACGGGCAGGCUAGAGUGCGGUAGGGGAGAUGGGAAUUCCUGGUGUAGCGGUGGAAUGCGCAGAUAUCAGGAGGAACACCAAUGGCGAAGGCACAUCUCUGGGCCGUAACUGACGCUGAGGAGCGAAAGCGUGGGGAGCGAACAGGAUUAGAUACCCGAGUAGUC
rnacentral:rRNA from 1 species